GACGUAGGUGGCGAACGUUAUCCGGAAUUAUUGGGCGUAAAGGGUGCGUAGGCGGCAUGAUAAGUUAUUGACGGGAAAUCGAGGCUCAACCUCGUGGAAACUAAUAAUACUGUUUUGCUUGAGUACAGGAGAGGUUAACGGAACUCCAUGUGGAGCGGUAAAAUGUGUAGAUAUAUGGAAGAACAUCAAUAACGGCGAAGGCAGUUAACUAUUCUGUUACUGACGUUGAGGCACGAAAGCGUGGGGAGCAAAACGG
rnacentral:rRNA from 1 species